rnacentral:rRNA from 1 species
GAUCCUGGCUCGGGAUGAACGCUAGCUACAGGCUUAACACAUGCAAGUCGAGGGGCAGCAUGGUCUUAGCUUGCUAAGUUUGAUGGCGACCGGCGCACGGGUGAGUAACGCGUAUCCAACCUACCCUUGUCCAUCGGAUAACCCGUCGAAAGGCGGCCUAACACGAUAUGCGGUUCACCGCAGGCAUCUAACGUGAACGAAAUGUGAAGGAGAAGGAUGGGGAUGCGUCUGAUUAG